CAAAAGUUAGUUGUGCUUUCUGGUAGUAAUUACCUCCCACAAAUAUGACUCACUUCUGCAGCUUGAAUGCAACGGUUUAGUGUCCCAAAAUCAACAGUUUUAUAAAUAAAUCUCUGAAUCACAGACUGAAUGCCUGAAGUGUUUAAAUAUUUCUUACUGCUCUGGGAAGUAGUUUUCAUUUAAGGCUGUAACUUCACAACGAAUUCCCAGCGAGCAGUACUGAUACUAAGAGGGAAUAAACACAGAUCGAGCAGAAUGCCUGAAAAGGAAGAAAAUUUUAAUCGUGGAGAAAACGGAUUUGGAAGAGAAGAAAUAAGCCCUGAGUCUACUGAGCUUGGUGACUAUAGUGGUAUGCUGCAUAUACAUUUUUAGACACUUAAUGGAGAUGCUCCAAAUCUUCCUCCUGGUGUAUGUGCCUCCCCACUGCUCUCUAUAGACGCUGAUCUCCUAAACCCUUCGGCUUGGAAUCCCAACGAUGAAGUGCUGCAAGCAGGGAGCGUGCUGUCCCCAGUGCUGGCUGCCACCGAGGCGGGGGCAGAGACCUACCCGAGGGAGGCACGGGGCGGGCGGGCACAGGGGCAGGGGGAUCCGAAGCAGAGAAGAAAAUGGAGUCUGAUUAAUGCAUCCACAACAAAAAAUGGACAGGGAUUGUCCUUUGUUUCUUUAUUUGUGACUUUGCAAUGUGGAUUUGAUUACAGCACUUGAACUCAGCAGAUUUCCUCCCUGCGCACAGUGGAAAACAUUGAUGUCCUAUUUACAAAGAAUUUCUGGGAAGCCUGAUGCACAUACGUAUCAACAACUACUUGCUUGGAUGGUUUUUAUUUAAUAGCGUUUUGAAAAGCAUAUGGAGAAAAUUUCUACUGUGGUGCAUUUAACUUCAAAAUGUGUUGUGCCUGGAGGAACAAGCUUUUAGGAGUUACAGCGCUUUUGUAUCUGUGUGAAGUGUGCUGAUGUAGGGACGUGUAUUUGGGCUCUCCUUUUAUUGUAAUCUCCGGGGCCUGUGGCUGGAUUGUACCUUGCUGGAGAUUUCAGUUUGUACACAGGCAAGGCUUGGUAGAAGUUUGGUUUGCUAGAAAUUUUUGCUCACGGCUUUGAGUUUUAUAACAUUGUUUAUGACAUUUGCUCUUUGGAACAAUAUCUGCUAUAUGUUCAUUUUUCUCUUACUCCAAGCCCCAGCAAUCACCCUGGAAUUGUAUUACAUAACAGACCACAUCUGGCCUUGAAAAGGACAGUUCAAACUGUCCGUAUCUGGGUCACGAUCAUUAUUUUAAUGUAGGUGCAGUGAGGGGAUUUGAAGAUAGGUAAUGUCUCUACAUUUUGAAAAUGUCCUUUUAUGGUAUUUGUUUUAACUAACCAUUAUUUAUUUCUACAUCACAGUGGAAGCCUUUCAGAGCUGACACAUAGGAGCAAUAGAGAGUAUAAGCAAGACGUGUCUAGAAUCUGUAAGGACCCAAUAUAUCCUGCAUGAGUAGGGAUUAUAGCCCUCGGACCCCACAGCCUGUGGCCACACUUGAAUUUCUGAUGAUUCGCUCCUUUGCAAAUAGUUUCUGAAUUUGCUAGCAAGCUCAAAGACACGAAAAGCAGGGCACUGUUAUUUGGACAUUUUUAAUUUCAAAAUAACCCAGUAUCUGAUGCAAUUCACUUUAAAUAGUACAUCCUCAAAUUAUUCUUUUUAAAGCUUCCUUAAAAAAUCAUACGGGACUUUUCUGUUUCCCUAUUGAAAUUUACAGUGGUCUUUUCAGCAAGGAAGAAACUAAUCAGGGUGCCAAAUCUCAAAGUCUUUACACGGACAGUUAACCAAAAUAAAGUUAAAUAUACAUGUUAAGUCCUUGCAGGAAUCAGACUUAACUAACCAUAAAAGAGAAGUUAUAAAAACUGCCUAUGCUGCCCAAGGCUGAGAGCAAACCAGAGAAGUGUGACUAGUUAGUAACUUAUCUCAAUUUCAUUCAGUUACAAGUACAUAAAGUACAGAUUUCUCAGACAACACUGCGAUUUUCAGGUGGGAGGCAAUCCUUCCUGAUCAUUCCUAACACAAGAUCUUACAAGUUACUUAACAGUGCAGCAUGCAUCAUUUGUAACUGAAGGGUUUCUCUUCUUUCUCUUUCAGUGAAACUCACGCUCAAAAUCUUUGUGGGCUUAAAAAGAAUCAUUCGGCCUGGUUAGAAAACUUCGUUGCCCAAUGCAGACUGAAAACUAAAGUGCCCUCACGCCACAGCAGGUCACAUCUACAGUCAGGAGGUAGUGAGUGCUCUCCAUAGUCUGGCCAUACAUUGCAGUCCAAGGAGCAGUGGACCCUCUCAAAGGAGAAUGACCUUUCUCAUGACUUCUGGGAAAUGAUGGACCUCUGUAGUGAAACAGCACAUUUACCUUUUAUAAACUAUCUAGGAAAAUACAGGAAAAGCCAUAUGGCUCAAGGAGGCAUCUCCUAAAAUUAGACAUCACGUAACACAGUACCUAAUUGUAAGGAUACAGAGCCUACAUCUGCUGGAACUGGGCGUAGCAUGAAAUGUCAAAUGCAGAUUUAGAUGCAAGUAGGACUGCAAAAGGGAAAUUAAGUGUCUUCAGUGUUCUUUUAAUUGAGAAAGAAAGAGCUUGCUGAUGAAUGUGCUGAGAGUCUGAUGGAAAAAAGCAAAAGGUUUAAAGAAAUCUGAAUCUCUUCACAGCAGGAAAGUGGAAUGAAAAGGAUUUGGAGCUUUUCUGUUACUUAUCCCCCCACAGAGGGGCAGAUUUAUACAUCUAGCUGGUGAUUACCAUUAGAGUAGAUGCUGAUGGAGCAAAGAAGUCCAAAUGUAUCCUCAAAAACUCUUCUUGGUUAAGGAAUUUUCCAUGUUGUGAUCUUGGCUAGUCUCUCAAAGCAUUUGGGAAAACAACUCUGAUGGACUAAAAGUGUGAGACAUGAUGGAUGGCAUUCUAUAUACUGUAUGUCAAAUAAGCUAAAAUCAAACUUAAAGGUCUGCCUACAACUGUCUUCCAUGGAAAUUCCAAGAUUGUCUUCAAAGUGGAGGUUUGCACAAGCUGCAUGGUCAGGAUUUGGGAGCUAUUUAGAAUAAGGAGGAAAAAAAAAAUGUAUAAAUCACUGAGAACACAUCUUCUCAAGGCACAGAAAGAGACGGGAUAACACAAUUAACACGAAAUGGGAUCAAAACUAAAACUCUGACUGAAAAGGGAAUCAUCAAUAUUCCCGUUCUGUAAUGUUGCCAUCCAUGCUGGACAUAGCUGUAGCAGCUGCAAACAGCAUUGGCCAUACAACUGGAACUGGAAACCUCUUCAGCCAUUUCAAAGAAACAGGGUGAAGACUGAGUCUGCAGUGGCGGGUCCAGCACAGUACUCUUAACUGGUACUACUGCUGUUUUCAGUUUGCUAAAACACAGGGAUUUGAACAGCAGCCUCGGCUGUGGUGGCAGUAAUCUCCCCAGGAGGGAUGGGGCAGGCAGAUGCAGGUAUAACCAAGGGAUCAUGAAUCUAGGCCAUAGCUUUGUGACCUUCCUAAUCCUUAAAAAAUAGCUUUAUGUAUGUGUGUGUGGAUACAAGUGUAUGCUAUGCAAUAACAGAUAGACACUGCAAAGGUUAUAUGAAAUUGUGUUGCAUAUUUUAAUACCCCGACAUGCGAGAAAAGCUAGUGAAGGAAAGGCAGUCUAAGCUCUCGUGUGGUAGGACAUGAGGAACAGCAGCAAGCAGCAAGAAAAAGAAGGCACAACUGAACUUACACAAAACGUUUCAAUUUCAGUUUAGCUAUGAGUUUUGAUCUGGCACAUUUGGUGAUCCCUGGCUGGCUGGAUGCUCUGUCCAAUAUUUUCUUCUGUGGGUGAAGAACAGCCUGUUUGCUGAAUUUGGCAUUUAACUCUACAGAGUCACAGCAAUGGACAGGUCUGUCUGUUUGCUUUUUAUUCUCUAGCCUUGCCCAAGUCAAUAGAAUGGGUAAUCCAUCAUGACGCUGCAGGAAAGUGACUGGGGAAACAGCACCAAAAUUGCUUGUUUAGGAUUCAUAUCAGUACACAUCAGUUGGAGGAGAAUGGAGACCCAAGCAAUGCAUAUGUCCUUAAAUGCAUUUUCAGAGGCUGUAAAACUAAUGUAAUGCAUCACCAUUAAAGAGAAAAUGUGACCAAUUCAGUCUGACUCAGAUUAAGACUACAUUGUAGUUAAAAUGUCUCGAAACAGAGUCUGAAAAAUAGUUGUGCCCAAGUUGUUUUUCCACUGGAGAAAUUAACUGUAGUUGCAAACAUAAUUUUCAGACCUUCUGGAAUUAACAUUUAAGCAAGCAACAAUGUUAAGAUUAAAAAUGUCAAAGAACCUAUAAAUACUAUUUAGGAGCAGAGUAGUCUUCACAAAGCAAUCAUCAAGUAAAGAUAAAGCAGUCUAAGGUUAAGCAAGCAAGAAAGCGCAGUAGCCCUGCAUUCACACUGGAGUGCUAUUGUAGUGAAGAGCUUUUUUACUUUGCCAAUUAAUCUGACUCCUAAAAUUAGCAAUUAAUCUAUGAAAUUCUUGUCAUUAUUUAGAAUAAAUGGCAUGGCACUGAAGUACCAUUAUUAACAAUUAAGCAAAUUUCUUCUGGCCUCUUCUUCAAGAUGCUACAAUGAUGAAUCCAAAAUACAAGCUCACCUGGCUGUAGGAACACACAUCAACAUUUUAAUUACACAGCUUUGCAGGGGAAGCUUUGCACAGUUAACCUCUCUGUGCUAGGAAUGCCAUAAUGUUUUACUAAUGUUUCCGUGGAUUACAAAUACUUUUUUUUUUUUUCCCGAUGGCAAAACAAAUGCUUUUGUUGCCUUUGGCAUUGUGUGACAUGGUACUUGAUGUAAAAAUCCACAGAUACAUGGCCUUAUCAGGGAACUGUGUCUAAAGACACUCAGCAAGAAUGACAACACCUGCAUGCAAGGCAACAAACUGUAGGACUUUCACCCUACAAAAUCAGGAGUAGAAGUUGGAGCUAAUUUCAUUCAACAGAGAGGUGAAGUCAUCUCCAUAAACCUCAGCAGCCUCGCGGCAAGAAAACCCAUCGCACUGACUGGUCUGAUGUCAAGGGUAAGAGAAGCGCAGCUGCCUGUGAGGUAGGUUCACGGCCUCGGGUGCCUCAGGCUGUACUGCCUGGAUGCCCACCAGCUGCCAAGACAGCCUGGAGUGACUACACCGAGUCUGACAUCCCAGCUGAAGGUGGGCAAGUCCCACGCAGGAUCACCUACUACCAUCAUUACACAUGGAUUAGUCAUCACCUGCAAGAGAUCAACUGCUUCAAUGAGUGCCUCCCAACAGCUACUGACAUGGGUAGUGGAUCUUUUAAAUGGAAAUAAAAUUACCUAAAAGGAGUUACAAAAUAAUUCUCAUUACUCCAGACAGCUUUUUGUAUUUGCAGAGGACUGGUCAAAGACAAGAUCCUGCAGGUGUCUAAAUGCAAACAAAGCUCUCUGGUGCCACAGGGAGCUCUGGGCCCAGCAGGCCCAACCCCUGCUCACGCAGGGCCACCAGGAGCAGGGAGCCCAGGGCCAUGGCCAGGCGGCUCCUGAAGAUCCCCAAGAAGACUCCACCGCCUCUCUGGGUAACCUGUGCAGCACAGGUCACCCCCACAGCGCAGAAGUGUUUCUGGUGUUCAGACAGAGCCUCCCGUAGGCCACUUUUUGCCCAUUGCCUCUUGUCCUGGCUCUGGGCACUGCUAAAAAGAGCCUGGCUCCAUCCUGUUUGCACCCUCCCUUCGGGUAUUUACGGAUGUUAAGACCACCACCAGACCACCUCUUCUCCAGGCUGAGCAGGCCCAGCACCCUCAGCCUUUCCACAUCUGUCAGAUGCUCCAGUCCCUUCACCAUUUUUGUGGCUCUUCGUUGGACUCUCUCCAGAACGUCUCCUUUCAGCUUCUGGACAAUCCCAGUUACUCAUGAUUUUUCAGUUAAACUCCCCACACAUGUGAAGAUAUGCUUCUGGUCAUCCCUUCAGCUGCCUACCUCGUCACCCUACCUAUCCACCUGCAGAUCUUCAUGCAAGGCUUUUUCCCUCCCUGUCUCCUCUGCAGGAACUAAUCUGAGACCUUCAUUACUUACCUUGCAUGUGUGAAAUGUUGGGCAUAAUUAAUCUUUAAUAUGAAAGCCCAGUAGUCGUUAAGUCCCUCCAGGCUACCAGAAACCAAGGUUCAAUUCUAUCCUCUCAUCAAAGAAAUGUAAAUCACCAUCAUUCACAAGCUAAUUCACCUCCCUAAAGACAACAGUUCAGGGGUACCAGUGAAUGUUAUGUUUUCUAUAAAAUAAAAUAGUCGUUGAACCAGAGAAAGGUUAUUUUAUAGCCUAGUGGCUGAAAAAAA